CGGGCUGUAGGAUAAUGGUAGUCCGUAUCCUUGGGGUGGAUAUAGUUGGGGUUCGAUUCCCCACAGCCCGA
rfam:Parcubacteria bacterium GW2011_GWF2_43_11 TV65_C0041, whole genome shotgun sequence.